rnacentral:rRNA from 1 species
GAUGAACGCUGGCGGCGUGCCUAAUACAUGCAAGUCGAGCGAAGCGGGGACGGGUGAGUAACACGUGGAUAACCUCCUAUAAGGCUGGGAUAACUUCGGGAAACCGGAACUAAACCGGCUACUUAUAGAUGGAUCCGCGCUGCAUUAGCUAGUUGGUAAGGUAACGGCUUCCCAAGGCAACGAUGCAUAGCCGACCUGAGAGGGUGAUCGGCCACACUGGAACUGAGACACGGUCCAGACUCCUACGUGAGGCAGCAGUAGGUAAUUUUCCGCAAUGGGCGAAAGCCUGACGGAGCAACGCCGCGUGAGUGACGAAGGUCUUCGGAUCGUAAAACUCUGUGAUGAGGGAAACGGUACCUAACAAGAAAGCCCCGGCUAACUACGUGCCAGCAGCCGCGGUAAUUC